rnacentral:rRNA from 1 species
GACGUAGGGCGCGAGCGUUGUCCGGAUUUAUUGGGCGUAAAGAGCUCGUAGGCGGCUUGUCGCGUCGAAUGUGAAAACUCGGGGCUUAACCCCGGGCCUGCAGUGGGUACGGGCAGACUAGAGUGCGGGAGGGGAGACUGGAAUUCCUGGUGUAGCGGUGAAAUGCGCAGAUAUCAGGAGGAACACCGAUGGCGAAGGCAGGUCUCUGGGCAUUAACUGACGCUGAGGAGCGAAAGCAUGGGGAGCGAACAGG